rnacentral:rRNA from 1 species
UACGUAGGGUGCAAGCGUUACUCGGAAUUACUGGGCGUAAAGCGCGUGUAGGCGGUCCGGUAAGUCCGCUGUGAAAGUCGGGGGCUCAACCCUCGGAUGCCGGUGGAUACUGUCGGGCUUGAGUACGGAAGAGGCGAGUGGAAUUCCUGGUGUAGCGGUGAAAUGCGCAGAUAUCAGGAGGAACACCGAUGGCGAAGGCAGCUCGCUGGGACGGUACUGACGCUGAGGCGCGAAAGCGUGGGGAGCGAACAGG